AGAGUUUGAUCCUGGCUCAGAACGAACGCUGGCAGCGUGGAUUAGGCAUGCAAGUCGAACGGGAUUCCUGGAUAUAGCAAUAUAUUUAGGAUGGAAGUGGCGUAAGGGCGAGGAACGCGUGGGCAAUCUGCCCUUGAGUUUGGGAUAACCCGCCGAAAGGUGGGCUAAUACUGGAUGAGGUUGCUGGUCGCAUGACUGGUGGACUAAAGGUGGGGAUCGCAAGACCUGCCGCUCGAGGAGGAACCCGCGCCCUAUCAGCUUGUUGGUGAGGUAACGGCCCACCAAGGCUAUGACGGGUAGCUGGUCUGAGAGGAUGGUCAGCCGCACUGGGACUGAGACACUGCCCAGACUCCUACGGGAGGCUGCAGUCGAGGAUCUUUUGCAAUGGGCGCAAGCCUGACAAAGCGACGCUGCGUGGAGGAUGAAGGCCUUCGGGUCGUAAACUCCUGUCAUUCGGGAACAAUACCGAGAGGAUUAAUACCCCUUUGAUGAUGUACCGAAG
rnacentral:rRNA from 1 species